rnacentral:lncRNA from 1 species
GGUGGUUGAUCUCACAACCACUUAUGUGGUUACACUAAUACAAAGAUAUAGGUGCUCAUUAGAGAAUAAGUUCAUUAAAUUGACCUACGAGAGAAUAUCAGAUGGAGUUUUAUUUAUACGUCAACUAAGGUUUCUCUAGUGGAAGUUGUGUAAGUGAUCUUUUGAUCUGAAGUCAUCAUGGUACCUUAUGUACAUGGAUCCAUAUUUUGGUUCGCUACCUAACUUGGUUCUUUGAUCCUUGUGUGGAGUGUUUUGGAUAUGGUGAAGUAUGCAUAGAGGUUGUAUGUGAUCAAUAAGGGAUCAGUCACUUCUAAUAAGGGGAGCGAACAUCUUAUGUGAUCUCAUAGGAUGAUGAUUCGAAAGUCUUUGGCUAAAGUAGGAUGAUAAUUAGAAAAGAGUUUCUAAUGUAUCAUCAAUUGAAUCAUCACCUUC